CGAACGCUGGCGGCGUGCUUAACACAUGCAAGUCGAACGGAAAGGCCCUGCUUUUGUGGGGUGCUCGAGUGGCGAACGGGUGAGUAACACGUGAGUAACCUGCCCUUGACUUUGGGAUAACUUCAGGAAACUGGGGCUAAUACCGGAUAGGAGCUCCUGCUGCAUGGUGGGGGUUGGAAAGUUUCGGCGGUUGGGGAUGGACUCGCGGCUUAUCAGCUUGUUGGUGGGGUAGUGGCUUACCAAGGCUUUGACGGGUAGCCGGCCUGGGAGGGUGACCGGCCACAUUGGGACUGAGAUACGGCCCAGACUCCUACGGGAGGCAGCAGUGGGGAAUAUUGCACAAUGGGCGGAAGCCUGAUGCAGCAACGCCGCGUGCGGGAUGACGGCCUUCGGGUUGUAAACCGCUUUCGCCUGUGACGAAGCGUGAGUGACGGUAAUGGGUAAAGAAGCACCGGCUAACUACGU
rnacentral:rRNA from 1 species